GUGGGGAAUAUUGGGCAAUGGGGGCAACCCUGACCCAGCGACGCCGCGUGAGGGAAGAAGGCCUUAGGGUCGUAAACCUCUGUUGUGUGGGAAGAAGGAAGUGACGGUACCACACGAGGAAGUCCCGGCUAACUACGUGCCAGCAGCUGAGGUACUACGUAGGGGACGAGCGUUGUCCGGAAUUACUGGGCGUAAAGGGGGCGUAGGCGGUUAUUUCAGUCAGCUGUGAAAUGGUCCGGCUCAACCGGAUCAUGCGGUUGAAACUGGAUGACUGGAGUGCUGGAGAGACAAGUGGAAUUCCCAGUGUAGCGGUGAAAUGAGUAGAUAUUGGGAAGAACACCGGUGGCGAAGGCGACUUGCUGGCCAGCAACUGACGCUGAGGCGCGAAAGCCAGGGGAGCAAACGGGAUUAGAAACCCCAGUAGUCC
rnacentral:rRNA from 1 species